rnacentral:rRNA from 1 species
UACGUAGGGGGCGAGCGUUGUCCGGAUUUAUUGGGCGUAAAGAGCGUGUAGGCGGCCAGGUAGGUCUGCUGUGAAAACUCGAGGCUCAACCUCGAGACGUCGGCGGAAACCAUCUGGCUAGAGUCCGGAAGAGGAGAGUGGAAUUCCUGGUGUAGCGGUGAAAUGCGUCAGAUAUCAGGAGAACACCCGUGGCGAAGGCGGCUUCUG